rnacentral:rRNA from 1 species
UACCAGCACCCCGAGUGGUCAGGACGAUUAUUGGGCCUAAGGCAUCCGUAGCCGGUCAUGCAAGUCCUCCGUUAAAUCCACCUGCUUAACAGAUGGGCUGCGGAGGAUACUACAAGGCUAGGAGGCGGAAGAGGCAAGCGGUACUCAGUGGGUAGGGGUAAAAUCCUCUGAUCCAUUGAAGACCACCAGUGGCGAAGGCGGCUUGCCAAUACGCGCUCGACGGUGAGGGAUGAAAGCUGGGGGAGCAAACCGG